UACGUAGGGUGCAAGCGUUAAUCGGAAUUACUGGGCGUAAAGCGUGCGCAGGCGGCUUUGCAAGACAGAUGUGAAAUCCCCGGGCUUAACCUGGGAACUGCAUUUGUGACUGGCAGGCUUUGAGUGUGGCAGAGGGAGGUAGAAUUCCACGUGUAGCAGUGAAAUGCGUAGAGAUGUGGAGGAAUACCGAUGGCGAAGGCAGCCUCCUGGGCCAACACUGACGCUCAUGCACGAAAGCGUGGGGAGCAAACAGG
rnacentral:rRNA from 1 species